AUUGAACGCUGGCGGCAUGCCUUACACAUGCAAGUCGAACGGCAGCACGGGAGCAAUCCUGGUGGCGAGUGGCGAACGGGUGAGUAAUAUAUCGGAACGUGCCCGGUCGUGGGGAUAACGUAGCGAAAGCUACGCUAAUACCGCAUACGAUCUACGGAUGAAAGCGGGGGAUCGCAAGACCUCGCGCGAUUGGAGCGGCCGAUAUCAGAUUAGGUAGUUGGUGAGGUAAAGGCUCACCAAGCCGACGAUCUGUAGCUGGUCUGAGAGGACGACCAGCCACACUGGGACUGAGACACGGCCCAGACUCCUACGGGAGGCAGCAGUGGGGGAAUUUUGGACAAUGGGCGCAAGCCUGAUCCAGCAAUGCCGCGUGCAGGAUGAAGGGCCUUCGGGUUGUAAACUAGCUUUGUUACGGAACGAACGGUGAGGCUCUAA
rnacentral:rRNA from 1 species